rnacentral:rRNA from 1 species
GCAGUCGAGGGGUAUAGGUUUUCGGACCUAGAGACCGGCGCACGGGUGCGUAACGCGUAUGCAAUCUACCUUUUACAGAGGGAUAGCCCAGAGAAAUUUGGAUUAAUACCUCAUAGCAUUAUGAAGUGGCAUCACUUUAUAAUUAAAGUCACAACGGUAAAAGAUGAGCAUGCGUCCCAUUAGCUAGUUGGUAAGGUAACGGCUUACCAAGGCAACGAUGGGUAGGGGUCCUGAGAGGGAGAUCCCCCACACUGGUACUGAGACACGGACCAGACUCCUACGGGAGGCAGCAGUGAGGAAUAUUGGUCAAUGGGCGCAAGCCUGAACCAGCCAUGCCGCGUGCAGGAUGAAGCAUCUAUGGUGUGUAAACUGCUUUUGUACGAGAAGAAACACUCCUACGUGUAGGAGCUUGACGGUAUCGUAAGAAUAAGGACCGGCUAACUCCGUGCCAGCAGCCGCGGUAAUACGGAGGGUCCAAGCGUUAUCCGGAAUCAUUGGGUUUAAAGGGUCCGUAGGCGGUUUUGUAAGUCAGUGGUGAAAGCCCAUCGCUCAACGGUGGAACGGCCAUUGAUACUGCAAGACUUGAAUUAUUAGGAAGUAACUAGAAUAUGUAGUGUAGCGGUGAAAUGCUUAGAUAUUACAUGGAAUACCAAUUGCGAAGGCAGGUUACUACUAAUAUAUUGACGCUGAUGGACGAAAGCGUGGGG